ACAUACUUCUUUAUGUACCCAUAUGAACAUACAAUGCUAUGGAAUGUAAAGAAGUAUGUAU
rnacentral:pre_miRNA from 14 species